rnacentral:misc_RNA from 1 species
AAGAGUUGCAAAACUCCCACAACCAUCGCGAACGUACCUGCAGACGUCGUUGCUUCGGCGGGGGCUCCCUCCGGGAGGGACGCGGAAUCCAAACUCUUGCUUUAUUCGGCCUCUCUGAGUAUGAUUUUAAAUAAGUUC